GGAGCCAGAGGCUUGGCUGGCUGGGACAAAGACGCUCUGUAUCCAUCAGGAAUGUAGUGACCUCAUCAUCGCUUUCCUCUGUGGCUUGGGUUUGUGUUAAGCAGAAGGAAGAGAGAUUUGAGGUUGAAGUUUGGUGCCUGGGCCUUCGGUCAUACGCUCCUCCGUUACCGUAUCCUUUUCUCUCAAGAGCUAAUCUGGCUUGAAGCAAAGGCUCUGAUUUCAUCACCGGGAGGCUAACAUGGAGCUUGGACUGGAGCUGGAGGUUAACCCCGACAGUGGAGCAGGGAGGCCUGGACUAGAAAGAUAAAGGGCUCGAGAAUGAGGACCUGGCUGCAGCCAGGCUUUCCAGAGAUGACUAUGGGAUUCUCUUGAGAUCCUAUCACAGCUUCAGAUUCCCAUUUUCUUCCUUAGUCACGUGAAGGGCCAGAUGACCUUUAGUGAAGUGCCUUGGAAAGUUAACUCUGGGAUCAGUGACUGGCCUCAUCUUUUCCCCUUGUCUUUUAAGGAAAACCAUGGCUUAGGAUGAAUCCACAGUGGAUGUGGUAGCCUUCUUCAGGUAUGCAGAGCACAGGUGCAAAGGAUGUUGUCCUGAUCGCAGCUUUAGGUGAGCGCUGCAGGGUUUACAGUCAGUUUGGGGUUUGUUUAUAUGUUUGACAAGAAAGUCAUAGACUACCAGUGUUACUGACUUCCAUCUUUGGGUCUCAAUUUCCUCAGCUGUGAGAAGACUACCCGGCUAGAUGGAUUCCAAGUUGUCUGGCUGUGACAUGUGAUGAAUGGUUCAAGUAGCCUGUGACCCCAUUCUCUCCGUCCUGCUAUGUUCCUGCUUCAGAUGCCCAUUUUCUAGUCCACAAUGUUCCAAUUGUUAGGGAAGAGACAUAAAAUUUGUGGCGUGUGUGUGUAUAUGUGUGUGUGUGUGUGUGUGACUGUGUGAGUGUAUGUGUGUGUGUGAGUGUGUUUGUAUGUGUGUGUGCAAGUGUGCACAGGCACAGUUAAAGCAAAAGCAAAUUAUUCUUUCAGUUGGGUUAUUGUUUUAUUGAUUGGUAAAAAUUAUUUAUAUAUGUUGGAUGCCAUUCCU
rnacentral:lncRNA from 1 species